CUAUGCGCCUUGCCAGCCCGCUCAGGUGUGCCAGCCGCCGCGGUAACACGUAGGGAGCAAGCGUUGUCCGGAAUUACUGGGCGUAAAGGGCGCGUAGGUGGGCGCUUAAGUCAGGUGUGAAAACUCCGGGCUCAACCUGGAGACUGCACUUGAAACUGGGUGUCUUGAGGGCAGGAGAGGAAAGUGGAAUUCCUAGUGUAGCGGUGAAAUGCGUAGAUAUUAGGAGGAACACCAGUGGCGAAGGCGACUUUCUGGACUGUAACUGACGUUGAGGCACGAAAGUGUGGGGAGCAAACAGG
rnacentral:rRNA from 1 species